UGGGGAAUAUUGCACAAUUGGCGCAAGCCUGAUGCAGCCAUGCCGCGUGUAUGAAGAAGGCCUUCGGGUUGUAAAGUACUUUCAGUCGGGAGGAAGGUGGUAAGGUUAAUAACCUUAUCAAUUGACGUUAUCGACAGAAGAAGCACCGGCUAACUCCGUGCCAGCAGCCGCGGUAAUACGGAGGGUGCAAGCGUUAAUCGGAAUUACUGGGCGUAAAGCGCACGCAGGCGGUUGAUUGAGUCAGAUGUGAAAUCCCCGGGCUUAACCCGGGAAUUGCAUCUGAUACUGGUCAGCUAGAGUCUUGUAGAGGGGAGUAGAAUUCCAUGUGUAGCGGUGAAAUGCGUAGAGAUGUGGAGGAAUACCGGUGGCGAAGGCGGCCCCCUGGACAAAGACUGACGCUCAGGUGCGAAAGCGUGGGGAGCAAACAGG
rnacentral:rRNA from 1 species